CAUUAGAUGACUGAAAGCAAGUAAUGGUCUCUUAAACCACACUAUAGCAGGAUAGCAUCUGCUUCUAAUG
rnacentral:tRNA from 1 species